CACUCGGCCACGGGGCCAGCCCCUCAAGUUCUUUAUUUUUAUUCAUCUUUUCUUACCUGGAUUUCAUCAUUGCAUGACUUUUGCAAGAGGUUCUCACAAGGCAAUCUUACUUGAGUUUGUUCCUGUUUAUGAAAGCUGUCAGUACCCCUAAAAUUUCAACCACAUCUUGGUAUAUUUUUUUCUUUAGAAUAUUGUAGCAAUUGCUCUAUUAUCUUUUGGUAUUGAAUGUUGACGUGGAAAAGGACUGAGGACAGUCUGUGAGGAGCUUUUUCCUCUUCUCUGUAGAUCAAUGUUUUUUAAAGUGUGGUCCCCAGAUUAGCAGCACCAUCACCUGGGAAUUUGUUAAAAUGCAAAUUCUUAGGCCCCCUUUUACAGCUACUGAAUUAGGAACUUCAGCUAUAGAAUCUAGUAUCUGUUUUAACAAACCAUCCAGGGGCUUCUCAUGCACACUUACAUUUGAGAACUGAUUAAAUAUUUACUUUUUCUCCCUCAAUACUUGAAGAUUUCUUAUCUCGAAACUCAGUAACCUAAUCCAGGAUAUUUUAGAAUUGAGAGUUCUCUAUCAAAAUUUCCUGGACUCAUCUUUCAAUGUGUACUCUGGCUGUCAAGGAUGCAUAGCAAAAAAGCUAGCCACUUGGCUUUUAUGACUCAAUGACCAUACAUCUCAGGGUAGUUUUAAUUUAUGCCUGUUAUCCCAGAAUAUUUAUUACUAGGGCCUCCUUUCACUCUCAACAGCGUCACAGUUUGGAUGAUAGUUAUAUGGUCACUCUAUUUAUGACCAGUGAGUCCAAUGGUUUGUAAAAUAUCUGUGACUGGUCAUGAUACUGUAUGGACUCUGUGGAAUCCCUAAUAGGAGAGUCAGAAUAGAGGUCCAUAGGGUUUUGGAGCAAAAUCAUGCCUGUUUUGAAAAGAAAUUCCCUCAUCUUGAGAGAGAGCUCUUGGCUUGCUAUUGGGCUGUGGUUAGAAACUGAACAUGCACUUGAUUGUGGAACACCAGCUGCUCCACGUGAAUUAGGUGUUUGAUCUACCAAGCCAUAGGGUCAGGCAUGUCCAGCAACACUCCUUCAUCAUGUGGUAUACUUGGGGACUGGGCUUGAGCAAGUGUAAAUUAGAUGAGCAGAUGACUUUCACUCCUGGGAUGCCUAUUCCCAUUGCACUGCCAUCCUACCCUCGUCCUUUGCUUAAGCCACAUGGAGUGUUCUCUAUGGCCAGUUGACUGAAAAAUAAAAAAUCUGGGCCUAGUUUAUAGAUAGUUUUGCGUGACAGCUGGAGUUGAUUUCUGCAAUGCAGCAGCCCCAUCAAGGAGUGGCCCUGCAGUAAAGAAAAACAGGGAAUUCCAUCCAGUGGGCAGAAUUCUCAUCAGGACACCUCACUGUCUGUUUCGCCUGUAGGCAAGCUGGCCUGAGGAGCAGCUCUAUAGAAAUGCAUGCACGGGGGCUAGUGAUUUGGCAGGACAAUCCAGGAUAUGAAAGCAGUAAGAUAUGAGGAUUGAUAACAAGUUGGCCUGGAGAAAGAAGUAUGUGAAGGGAUCUCUCAGAACGAACUCAGAGCGUCAGAACAUUUGUGUCCUAGGUAAAUGCUCACCAAAGGGCUUUUACUUCAGAGAAAGUUUUCUUUACCUAGAUAAACAUGUUAAACCUCCUAUUCCAGUGCUAGGCACCCUGUGAUCAAUUAUUCAAUGCCAAAUAUUCCUGUGGGCCAAACCAUUAUGAUUACCCCAUCAGCUCUUCUGCGUAUUAAAAUAACCAGCCCAAGUUAUCUCUGGUAAUUUGGUGCUACUUAUUAGUCCCUGCCACCCUGGGAUGUCACCAUCCUUACUGAAAUCAUAGAACCUGUUUCAAUAUCAGUAUUUUCCAUGUUCAUCUCUGACCUACAGAAGACAGCCACUGUGGUGCUUUUCAAAUAUGUUGAUACUAUCUCCUUUAAUGUAUUUCUCAAUGCUCUUAUGACAGGCAUGUCCUUGGGGCUGGUAAUAUAUAACAGAUCCACUCUAACAUUCUCAUCUCUCUAAAUCUUUCUCUUCCUUCCUCUACAAGAGAUAUGGCAUCUCAACUCAGCAUAGGCCAGAAGUGAAUCCAAUUUUCAGUCUACCCAGAACAAAAAGAGAAAAUAAUUAGAACUCUACCAACCGUGUGUGAUAGCACAUUGAAUCCAGAAGCUCUGGCCAAACAAAACAAGGCCAUGGAAGGAACUGGGCCCCCAGGCCUCCAAUUUACCAUCUCUACUCUAGACGCUUAUUAGAGUCUGGCAUUCAGAAACAAUAUAUAUGACCUCUAUCUUGAGCCACAUACCAGAGACAGAACAAACGAAAAAUGGAAUAACACCAGGAAUGCAAGUGUUAUUGGUUGGAUUUUGUCCCCCUAAACGUCAUAUGUUAAGUCCUAACCCCAAGUAUCUGAGAAUGUGAGCUUAUUUUGAAAUAGGUUUGUUGUAGAUAUAAUUACUUAAGUUAAAAUAAGUUCAGUAGGGGGGACCAUAAUCCAAUAUGACUAGUGUCCUCAUAAGAAAGGAGAAAUGCGGCCUUAGACAAGUCUACAGGGAGAUCUCUAUGUGAAGAUGAAGGCAGAGAUUGGGGUGAUUCUUCUACACACCAAGGGACACUAAAUAUUGCCAGAAAACUUCUAGAAGCUAGAAGAAAGGCAUGGAAUGGAUUCUUCCUCACAGCCCUCAGAAGGAACCAACCCUACCAAUACCUUGAUCUUGGACUUCUAGCCUUCACGACCAUAAGAUAGUAAAUUUCUGUUGUUUAAGCCACUCAGCUUGUGGUACUUUGUUACAACAGCCCUAGAAACCAAUACAGCGAGGUUGCUUUAAUAUGUGAAAAUGAAUUUAUGCCGUAUCAAUAGAAUAAAGGACAAAAAUCACAUGACUAUCUUAA